rnacentral:rRNA from 1 species
GACGAACGCUGGCGGCGUGCUUAACACAUGCAAGUCGAACGGAAAGGCCCUGCUUUUGUGGGGUGCUCGAGUGGCGAACGGGUGAGUAACACGUGAGUAACCUGCCCUUGACUUUGGGAUAACUUCAGGAAACUGGGGCUAAUACCGGAUAGGAGCUCCUGCUGCAUGGGGGGGGUUGGAAAGUUUCGGCGGUUGGGGAUGGACUCGCGGCUUAUCAGCUUGUUGGUGGGGUAGUGGCUUACCAAGGCUUUGACGGGUAGCCGGCCUGAGAGGGUGACCGGCCACAUUGGGACUGAGAUACGGCCCAGACUCCUACGGGAGGCAGCAGGGGGGAAUAUUGCACAAUGGGCGGAAGCCUGAUGCAGCAACGCCGCGUGCGGGAUGACGGCCUUCUGGUUGUAAACCGCUUUCGCCUGUGACGAAGCGUGAGUGACGGUAAUGGGUAAAGAAGCACCGGCUAACUACGUG